rnacentral:sRNA from 1 species
CGGUUUCAAUCUGCUGAGGAGAGAUGAAGUGAAUGUGGGCAUCGAUGCCGCCGGCGGUGACGACCAUGCCUUCGCCGGCCACGGCUUCGGUGGCAGGGCCGAUGAUGAUGUCGACAUUGUCCUGGAUGUAGGGGUUGCCAGCCUUGCCGAUCUUGUGGAUCUUGCCGUCUUUAAUGCCGAUGUCGGCCUUGACGAUGCCCCACCAAUCCAAGAUGAGAGCAUUGGUAAUCACCAUGUCGACGGCUCCCUCGGCCCGGGAAAUGGGGGAUUGGCCCAUGCCGUCCCG